rnacentral:rRNA from 1 species
AUGAACGCUGGCGGCGUGCCUAAUACAUGCAAGUCGAGCGAACAGACGAGGAGCUUGCUCCUCUGACGUUAGCGGCGGACGGGUGAGUAACACGUGGAUAACCUACCUAUAAGACUGGGAUAACUUCGGGAAACCGGAGCUAAUACCGGAUAAUAUAUUGAACCGCAUGGUUCAAUAGUGAAAGACGGUUUUGCUGUCACUUAUAGAUGGAUCCGCGCCGCAUUAGCUAGUUGGUAAGGUAACGGCUUACCAAGGCGACGAUGCGUAGCCGACCUGAGAGGGGGAUCGGCCACACUGGAACUGAGACACGGUCCAGACUCCUACGGGAGGCAGCAGUAGGGAAUCUUCCGCAAUGGGCGAAAGCCUGACAGAGCAACGCCGCGUGAGUGAUGAAGGUCUUCGGAUCGUAAAACUCUGUUAUUAGGGAAGAACAAAUGUGUAAGUAACUAUGCACGUCUUGACGGUACCUAAUCAGAAAGCCACGGCUAACUACGUG